ACUUACCGAUGACGGUGCAUGUUUCGACAGUUGGCGUGUAUGAGGAGAGGAGCUCGUAGCGGAGCUCCGCAAAGAAGUGCCUGACGGGAGGGUUAUUGGGCCUCCGUUUCUUGUUACCAGUAGUCCUCCGAGCCAGGAAGUUGGUAUGGACCCAAAUCUCGCCUCUGAUCCCCACGUACGAAGCCAUCAUGGGCUUGACAGGUUCGAAGUCGGAUCCCUGAAAGUACGUAUUAUUUCGUUAGCACGAGUUAGGCUCAGGCAUUAUUGAACUGUGUUGCUGCGGUGAACUUAUUUUAUAAUCUGCUGUAAAAAAAUACACACGAAAGUAGAAAAAAGAUUAAUUAUCCAAAUAAAAAUAAUAGCGAAAGGCGGGUGAAAAAAA
rnacentral:lncRNA from 1 species